rnacentral:rRNA from 1 species
UUAGGAAUCUUGCUCAAUGGGGGAAACCCUGAAGCAGCGACGCCGCGUGCGGGAUGAAGGCCCUCGGGUCGUAAACCGCUUUCAGCAGGAACGAAAUUGACGGUACCUGCAGAAGAAGCCCCGGCCAACUACGUGCCAGCAGCCGCGGUAAUACGUAGGGGGCGAGCGUUGUCCGGAUUCAUUGGGCGUAAAGAGCUCGUAGGCGGUUCGCUAAGUCAGGUGUGAAAUCUCCACGCUCAACGUGGAGGGGCCACCUGAUACUGGCGUGACUCGAGUCCGGUAGGGGAGUGUGGAAUUCCCGGUGUAGCGGUGAAAUGCGCAGAUAUCGGGAGGAACACCAGUGGCGAAGGCGGCACUCUGGGCCGGAACUGACGCUGAGGAGCGAAAGCGUGGGUAGCAAACAGGAUUAGAUACCCCCGUAGUCC